AGUCAUAUGCUUGUCUCAAAGAUUAAGCCAUGCAUGUCUCAGUACAAGCCAAAUUAAGGUGAAACCGCGAAAGGCUCAUUAAAUCAGUUAUGGUUCCUUAGAUCGUACACACAUUUACUUGGAUAACUGUGGUAAUUCUAGAGCUAAUACAUGCCAACAGAACUCCGACCGGAGACGGAAGGAGUGCCUUUAUUAGAUCAAAACCAAUCGGUGGCGCGGCCUCGGUCGUGUCAUCGUACAACAUGGUGAAUCUGAAUAACGUUUGCUGAUCGCACGGUCUCGCACCGGCGACGCAUCUUUCAAAUGUCUGCCUUAUCAACUGUCGAUGGUAGGUUCUGCGCCUACCAUGGUUGUAACGGGUAACGGGGAAUCAGGGUUCGAUUCCGGAGAGGGAGCCUGAGAAACGGCUACCACAUCCAAGGAAGGCAGCAGGCGCGCAAAUUACCCACUCCCGGCACGGGGAGGUAGUGACGAAAAAUAACGAUACGGGACUCAUCCGAGGCCCCGUAAUCGGAAUGAGCACACUUUAAAUCCUUUCACGAGGAUCAAUCGGAGGGCAAGUCAGGUGCCAGCAGCCGCGGUAAUUCCUGCUCCGAUAGCGUAU
rnacentral:rRNA from 1 species